UUGCCUACUCAUCUAUAAUCACAUCACCGACAUUUUACUCUAUCUGCAACCUUACAAAGUCCAGGCGAACACCCCACUCUACAGCCCCGUGACUCAUUACGACCUAGAUUUAAUUUGAGAGUGAAUAUAGCUGCAACGUUGUGCAAUCCAAGGUUAAAUUUAUUCUUGGUAUCUCUAUUAUUUUGACAAGCAGGUGAAGUUAUUAUUGGUAGAACCUAUGGAGUAUGAAUCAUCAAUUUAGGGGUUGUCUUUGUGGUUGAAUUGCUUUGGAAUCGAUUCUGGGUCUGUUGAGUGAUGAACUAUGUUGAUAUGUAUGUUUGUUUUGAUUAUCCUUUUGUUGAUUGAACUAGGCAGUUCGAGAGCUAAUUUGUGCAAGUUAAAUUUGGAUUUAUGCUCUGAAUAUAGUAUUGAAAAUUGGUUAUUCUUCAUUGGUUGAGUUGUUGCUUGAUGAGAUUAUAUUUCAUAUGGUAAUUGAACUUUGGAAGGGGUACACUAUUA